UCCUGACGAAAAGGCUACUUUUACAAUGAUGUUCCGUGAAAUUAUAAUUUCUGUACUUGUUGGAAGCAUAUGUGCCCAGUUCUGGGACAGAGAUUCAGACAAUUAUGGCGAUUCAUUUGUCGGAAAAUACAGGGAUUACAGAGACUCAGAUUCAAAUGGCUUGUAUGACGAUAACAGCAAUAAUAACGACGACGAUUCAGAUGAAUCGUACAGAAACAGAUUCCUUGUAGGAGGCUUUAGAAGACGCCAAAGUUGGGGACAAAGAGCAGUUGGUUUCCAACCACGCCGACAACAAACUUUUUCACGAUUCAACACUGCCAGAAGAAGAUCUCAAAAUCAAAAUUUUAGAAACUCAAGGAGAUCUUCUCGAAUCCAAUCCCAACGCCGUGUUCAAAACCGUCCCAGAUUCAACGUUCAACAAAGAACAUUAAGAAAUUCUGCUAGAAACCGUUUUCAAACAAACAGAAACUUCUUCAGAGGCAACAGUCCUACCCAGGCAGCAAUGUUGUAUAACGCAUUCAACAUGGACCUCUUUUAACAGAAGUUGAAGAUAGGCUGAAGAUAAAAUCUGGAUGACAACAGAUGCUAAAAAGAGGACAUAUAUGAACUGACACAGCUAUAUAUAUAAUGUUACUGUUUCAAACAAAAACUAAAAGAUUGUGAGAAUCUUAUGACUUAUAUUAUAAAUUACAGUGGACACUGUAUAGUCCCAUAGGAAAGGGAAAGAUACGAUGUUUUGUAUUUAUUUAGUUGCAUAUAAUGUAGCUCUUGUUAUGCUGUGAUAUUAAAUGAACUAUUAUUA